AGAAAGCUGGCGGCAGGCCUAAACAUGCAGUCGCGCGGAAACGAGUUAUCUGAACCUUCGGGGAACGAUAACGGCGUCGAGCGGCGGACGGGUGAGUAAUGCCUGGGAAAUUGCCCUGAUGUGGGGGAUAACCAUUGGAAACGAUGGCUAAUACCGCAUAAUAGCUUCGGCUCAAAGAGGGGGACCUUCGGGCCUCUCGCGUCAGGAUAUGCCCAGGUGGGAUUAGCUAGUUGGUGAGGUAAGGGCUCACCAAGGCGACGAUCCCUAGCUGGUCUGAGAGGAUGAUCAGCCACACUGGAACUGAGACACGGCCAGACUCCUACGGGAGGAGCAGGGGGAAUAUUGACAAUGGGUCAAG
rnacentral:rRNA from 1 species